rnacentral:rRNA from 1 species
AUUGAACGCUGGCGGCAUGCUUUACACAUGCAAGUCGAACGGUAACAGGCCGCAAGGUGCUGACGAGUGGCGAACGGGUGAGUAAUGCAUCGGAACGUGCCCAGCCGUGGGGGAUAACGCAGCGAAAGCUGUGCUAAUACCGCAUACGAUCUAUGGAUGAAAGCGGGGGACCGUAAGGCCUCGCGCGAUUGGAGCGGCCGAUGUCAGAUUAGGUAGUCGGUGGGGUAAAGGCCUACCAAGCCGACGAUCUGUAGCUGGUCUGAGAGGACGACCGGCCACACUGGGACUGAGACACGGCCCAGACUCCGACGGGAGGCAGCAGUGGGGAAUUUUGGACAAUGGGCGCAAGCCUGAUCCAGCAAUGCCGCGUGCAGGAAGAAGGCCUUCGGGUUGUAAACUGCUUUUGUACGGAACGAAACGGUCUGGGUUAAUACCCUGGGCUAAUGACGGUACCGUAAGAAUAAGCACCGGCUAACUACGUGCCAGCAGCCGCCGUAAAAC